GAUGAACGCUAGCGACAGGCUUAACACAUGCAAGUCGAGGGGCAGCGAGGGAGUGCUUGCACUUCUGUCGGCGACCGGCGCACGGGUGAGUAACACGUAUGCAACCUGCCCUUGUCAGGGGGAUAAGCGAGGGAAACCUCGUCUAAUACCGCAUAUAUGAUUUAGAGGCAUCUCUUAAUCAGGAAAGAAUUAUCGGACAAGGAUGGGCAUGCGGGACAUUAGGUAGUUGGGGGUGUAACGGACCACCAAGCCGACGAUGUCUAGGGGUUCUGAGAGGAAGGUCCCCCACACUGGAACUGAGACACGGUCCAGACUCCUACGGGAGGCAGCAGUGAGGAAUAUUGGUCAAUGGUCUGACGACUGAACCAGCCAUGCCGCGUGAAGGUGACGGCCCUAUGGGUCUUAAACUUCUUUUGCAAGGGAGCAAUAAGAGCUACGUGUAGCUUGAUGAGAGUACCUUGCGAAUAAGCAUCGGCUAACUCCGU
rnacentral:rRNA from 1 species